UUUAUCCCUAUAGCUCAGUUGGUAGAGCAUAAGACACUGAAUGUCAGGGUUGUGGGUUUGAAUCCCACAUUGGAUGAAA